CCUAUGGGGGGCAGCAGGCGCGCAAACUUUACAAUGCGAGCAAUCGUGAUAAGGAAACCCUGAGUGCCUGUCGAUGCAGGCUGUUCAUAUAUCUAAAUCAUAUGUGAAGAAAGGGCAGGGCAAGACCGGUGCCAGCCGCCGCGGUAAUACCGGCUGCUCGAGUGAUGGCCACUAUUACUGGGUUUAAAGCGUCCGUAGCUUGACUGUUAGGUCUCUUGGGAAAUCUUCGCGCUUAACGUGAAGGCGUCUAAGAGAUACCGGCAGUCUUGGAACUGGGAGAGGUAAACCGUACUUCGGGGGUAGGAGUGAAAUCUUGUAAUCCUCGAGGGACGACCUAUGGCGAAGGCAGUUUACCAGAACAGCUUCGACAGUGAGGGACGAAAGCUGGGGGAGCAAACGGGAUUAGAUACCCCCGUAGUCC
rnacentral:rRNA from 1 species